UUGUCUGUAUGUCUAAAACUGUACAUGUCAACAUGUUUACACAGGGCACAGCCGUAAAAGAGAUCCAGGUCUCAGUCUGUUUUUCCCUGUUAAAAUAAAGAUUUAAA